GGUAUACCCAAGUGUGUAGAAUUUCCUAUUUGAUAACUGAGUGCUCGCUAAUCAGAAAAACAGAUGCAUCAAUGGAUCACUGUUCAAGGUCCUUUCUAGCCCUUUCCUUCGUGCUCUGUGGAAAACCAAAUGCAUUACAUUUUAGAAAUAUUUCCUGCGUCUAUCUAGAUUUUGAAUACUCCCACUGAAAAUGAAAUCAUUUCCCCUAGCCGAAAUAUUCUAGGCUGCAGCCAUGGUAAUCCCCACGCAAAAAGAAGCUGCAAGAACAUCUGAAAGAUUACGCCACGCCUAGCAGCAGAUAUGGAACAUGCAUUGGUUGCCAAUCACCAACAUCCAAGAUAUUAUACCCAGGCAAGGAAAUGUACAAUUUCACGGUAUACCAAAAUUAUAUAUCACCAUCGUACUUUUUCAGAAGAAACUUCUUUCUUUGUCCUAUAUAAGUUAACACUGGAAGUCAAAAUGAUCCGGUAUGAUCUUAUAACUUACCCUUAAUGAUGACCGACAUUUUCAAACAGGCUGGCCAUGGCACCCGGAGCUUCAAUAGUUGUCGAACACUGUGGCUGGACCCCCCUGCAGGGUUGCGAACUUUGACUCGGUCUUGGAUUUACCAUUCCCUGAAACAUUAUCCUAUGCCCCAAUAUCUGAAGACAUCAUCUUCGCCGUGUGGUGCUUGUGCAUUUUCUUGAGAUCUGCUGCAAGGUUCUUGAUGGAAUCACAAGAUUCUUUCGACAUGAGCGAUGCAAUUCCCUCGGACCAGUCUCCCGAGAGAACAAAGAGCGGUGGAGCAAGGUGUUCGCAAGCAUGCCAAACUGGAAUAGAGGAAUCCCAGUUCAGUGAUAAGGCUCAUCAAGGUAUGUUUUGCGACUCACUUAGAGAUGUAGAUGAGAUCUUUUUUUUUUUACAUCUAGCCGAGACAUAAUGGAAUGCUGCAUUUGGUGAACUUCCAACAUCAUUCUCCACAUGAUAUCUGCCUGUCAUAGCAUCAUGCACGAUAAUAAGUAUGAUACAUAAUUCAAUAUCUUAGUUUGCAUACAAGGGAAGUGAGGAAUAUUUAGCCAACAUAUUCAAUAUUUUCUGCAUAUAAAAUAGCCCAUCGAAAUAAAUACAUUAUUUAACCAUAACAGGUGAAAAUACAGUUUCAACAAUAGUUCUGAAGUCCUAGUAUGUAUUGUACAUAGUACUGAGAAAAU